AUUUAACGCUGGCGGCAUGCCUUACACAUGCAAGUCGACCGGCAGCACGGGAGCAAUCCUGGUGGCGAGUGGCGAACGGGUGAGUAAUAUAUCGGAACGUGCCCAGUCGUGGGGGAUAUCGCAGCGAAAGCUGUGCUAAUACCGCAUACGAUCUAUGGAUGAAAGCGGGGGAUCUCAAGACCUCGCGCGAUUGUAGCGGCCGAUAUCAGAUUAUCUAGUUGGUGGGGUAAAGGCCCACCAAGGCGACGAACUGUAGCUGGUCUGAGAGGAGGACCAGCCACACUGGAACUGAUACACGGUCCAGGCUCCUACGGGAGGCAGCAGUGGGGAAGUUUGGACAAGGGGCGCAAGCCUGAUCCGGCAAUGCCGCGUGCAGGAUGAAGGCCUUCGGGUUGUAAACUGCUUUUGUCCGGAACGAAACGGUCCUUUCUAAUACAGAGGGCUAAUGACGGUACCGUAAGAAUAAGCACCGGCUAACUACGUGCCAGCCGCCGCCGUAA
rnacentral:rRNA from 1 species